rnacentral:rRNA from 1 species
GAGUUUGAUCAUGGCUCAGAACGUACGCUGGCGGCACGCCUAACACAUGCAAGUCGAACGAAGUAGCAAUACUUAGUGGCAGACGGGUGAGUAACAUGUAGGUAUCUGCCCUUUGGCCUGGAAUAACACGAGGAAACUUGUGCUAAUACCGGAUAAGUCUUUACGGAGAAAGCUUUAUGCACCAUUGGAUGAGCCUGCACUUGAUUAGUUUGUUGGUGGGGUAAUGGCCUACCAAGACUGUGAUCAAUAGCUGAUUUGAGAGGAUGAUCAGCCACAUUGGGACUGAGACACGGCCCAAACUCCUACGGGAGGCAGCAGUGGGGAAUCUUGCACAAUGGAGGAAACUCUGAUGCAGCGAUGCCGCGUGAGUGAAGAAGGCCCUUGGGUUGUAAAGCUCUUUCGUCGGGGAAGAAAAUGACUGUACCCGAAUAAGAAGGUCCGGCUAACUUCGUGCCAGCAGCCGCGGUAAUACGAAGGGACCUAGCGUAGUUCGGAAUUACUGGGCUUAAAGAGUUCGUAGGUGGUUGAAAAAGUUGGUGGUGAAAUCCCAGAGCUUAACUCUGGAACUGCCAUCAAAACUUUUCAGCUAGAGUAUGAUAGAGGAAAGCAGAAUUUCUAGUGUAGAGGUGAAAUUCGUAGAUAUUAGAAAGAAUACCAAUUGCGAAGGCAGCUUUCUGGAUCAUUACUGACACUGAGGAACGAAAGCAUGGGUAGCGAAGAGGAUUAGAUACCCUCGUAGUCCAUGCCGUAAACGAUGUGUGUUAGACGUUGGAAAUUUAUUUUCAGUGUCGCAGCGAAAGCGAUAAACACACCGCCUGGGGAGUACGACCGCAAGGUUAAAACUCAAAUGAAUUGACGGGGACCCGCACAAGUAGUGGAGCAUGUGGUUUAAUUCGAAGAUACGCGCAGAACCUUACCAACACUUGACAUGUUCGUCGCGACUUUAAGAGAUUAAAGUUUUCGGUUCGGCCGGACGAAACACAGGUGCUGCAUGGCUGUCGUCAGCUCGUGUCGUGAGAUGUUGGGUUAAGUCCCGCAACGAGCGCAACCCUCACUUUUAGUUGCCAUCAUUAAGUUGGGCACUCUGAAAGAACUGCCAGUGAUAAGCUGGAGGAAGGUGGGGAUGACGUCAAGUCCUCAUGGCCCUUACGUGUUGGGCUACACACGUGCUACAAUGGUAUCUACAACAGGAAGCAAGACGGCGACGUCAAGCAAAUCCUUAAAAGAUACCUCAGUUCGGAUUGCACUCUGCAACUCGAGUGCAUGAAGCUGGAAUUACUAGUAAUCGUGGAUCAGCGUGCCACGGUGAAUGCGU